ACGCUCGACACCUACGUGAGGCAGCAGUGGGGAAUAUUGCACAAUGGGGGAAACCCUGAUGCAGCGACGCCGCGUGAAGGAAGAAGUAUUUCGGUAUGUAAACUUCUAUCAGCAGGGAAGAAAAUGACGGUACCUGACUAAGAAGCCCCGGCUAACUACGUGCCAGGAGCCGCGGUAAUCUGAGCGGGCGUGGCAAGGC
rnacentral:rRNA from 1 species